CUGCGGAAGGAUCAUUAAAGAGUAAGGGUGCUCAGCGCCCGACCUCCAACCCUUUGUUGUUAAAACUACCUUGUUGCUUUGGCGGGACCGCUCGGUCUCGAGCCGCUGGGGAUUCGUCCCAGGCGAGCGCCCGCCAGAGUUAAACCAAACUCUUGUUAUUUAACCGGUCGUCUGAGUUAAAAUUUUGAAUAAAUCAAAACUUUCAACAACGGAUCUCUUGGUUCUCGCAUCGAUGAAGAACGCAGCGAAAUGCGAUAAGUAAUGUGAAUUGCAGAAUUCAGUGAAUCAUCGAAUCUUUGAACGCACAUUGCGCCCCUUGGUAUUCCGAGGGGCAUGCCUGUUCGAGCGUCAUUACACCACUCAAGCUAUGCUUGGUAUUGGGCGUCGUCCUUAGUUGGGCGCGCCUUAAAGACCUCGGCGAGGCCACUCCGGCUUUAGGCGUAGUAGAAUUUAUUCGAACGUCUGUCAAAGGAGAGGAACUCUGCCGACUGAAACCUUUAUUUUUCUAGGUUGACCUCGGAUCAGGUAGGGAUACCCGCUGAACUUAA
rnacentral:misc_RNA from 1 species